AUGUUUUCGUUCAAGUUUAAGAGGAAGCAAUUUACUAUAAGACUUAGCUUUGCUAUGACCAUUAACAAGGCUCAAGGGCAGACCAUCCCUACUGUUGGUGUCUACCUACCCAAUCCUGUGUUCUCUCAUGGUCAACUCUAUGUUGCUUUGUCUCGAGCCACCGUGAAGAGAAACAUAAAGAUACUAAUUCAGAAGGAGAAGCCGAAGGAGAAGGUCAAGAAGCAAAAGGACAAUCCGAAGAAGCAACCGUGUCCUUACUGA
rnacentral:rRNA from 1 species